GAACGCGAAAGGGGCUUCGGCCCUGAGUAGAGUGGCGAACGGGUGAGUAACACGUGGGUGACCUACCUUCGAGUGGGGGAUAACGUCCCGAAAGGGACGCUAAUACCGCAUGACAUCCUGCCUUUGAAGAGGUGGAGAUCAAAGCCGGGGAUCGCAAGACCUGGCGCUUGAAGAGGGGCUCGCGUCCGAUUAGCUAGUUGGCGAGGUAAUGGCUCACCAAGGCAACGAUCGGUAGCCGGCCUGAGAGGGCGGACGGCCACACUGGAACUGAGACACGGCCCAGACUCCUACGGGAGGCAGCAGUGGGGAAUUGUUCGCAAUGGGCGCAAGCCUGACGACGCAACGCCGCGUGGAGGAUGAAGGUCUUCGGAUUGUAAACUCCUGUUGCCCGGGACGAAUGGCCACGACCUAACACGUCGUGUGUGACGGUACCGGGUGAGGAAGCCCCGGCUAACUCUGUGCCAGCAGCCGCGGUAAUACAGAGGGGGCAAGCGUUGUUCGGAAUUACUGGGCGUAAAGGGCGCGUAGGCGGCCCGCUAAGUCGAACGUGAAAUCCCUGGGCUCAACCCAGGAACUGCGUCCGAUACUGGCGGGCUUGAAUCCGGGAGAGGGAUGUGGAAUUCCAGGUGUAGCGGUGAAAUGCGUANAUAUCUGGAGGAACACCGGUGGCGAAGGCGGCAUCCUGGACCGGUAUUGACGCUGAUGCGCGAAAGCCAGGGGAGCAAACGGGAUUAGAUACCCCGGUAGUCCUGGCCCUAAACGAUGAAUGCUUGGUGUGGCGGGUAUCGAUCCCUGCCGUGCCGAAGCUAACGCAUUAAGCAUUCC
rnacentral:rRNA from 1 species